rnacentral:tRNA from 1 species
UGUAGCUCAGUGGUAGAGUGCAUGCUUAGCAUGCACAAGGUCCUGGGUUCAAUCCCCAGUA